UACGAAGGGGGCUAGCGUUGUUCGGAAUUACUGGGCGUAAAGCGCACGUAGGCGGAUUUUUAAGUCAGGGGUGAAAUCCCGAGGCUCAACCUCGGAACUGCCUUUGAUACUGGAGAUCUUGAGUUCGGAAGAGGUUGGUGGAACAGCUAGUGUAGAGGUGAAAUUCGUAGAUAUUAGCUAGAACACCAGUGGCGAAGGGCGGCCAACUGGUCCGAUACUGACGCUGAGGUGCGAAAGCGUGGGGAGCAAACAGGG
rnacentral:rRNA from 1 species